rnacentral:rRNA from 1 species
UGACGAGUGGCGGACGGGUGAGUAAUGCUUGGGAAUCUGGCUUAUGGAGGGGGAUAACUGUGGGAAACUGCAGCUAAUACCGCGUAUUCUCUGAGGAGGAAAGGGUGGGACCUUAGGGCCACCUGCCAUAAGAUGAGCCCAAGUGGGAUUAGGUAGUUGGUGGGGUAAAGGCCUACCAAGCCUGCGAUCUCUAGCUGGUCUGAGAGGAUGACCAGCCACACUGGAACUGAGACACGGUCCAGACUCCUACGGGAGGCAGCAGUGGGGAAUAUUGCGCAAUGGGGGGAACCCUGACGCAGCCAUGCCGCGUGAAUGAAGAAGGCCUUCGGGUUGUAAAGUUCUUUCGGUAAUGAGGAAGGGAUGUUGUUAAAUAGAUAGCAUCAUUGACGUUAAUUACAGAAGAAGCACCGGCUAACUCUGUGCCAGCAGCCGCGGUAAUACGGAGGGUGCGAGCGUUAAUCGGAAUAACUGGGCGUAAAGGGCACGCAGGCGGACUUUUAAGUGAGAUGUGAAAUCCCCGAGCUUAACUUGGGAACUGCAUUUCAGACUGGGAGUCUAGAGUACUUUAGGGAGGGGUAGAAUUCCACGUGUAGCGGUGAAAUGCGUAGAGAUGUGGAGGAAUACCGAAGGCGAAGGCAGCCCCUUGGGAAUGUACUGACGCUCAUGUGCGAAAGCGUGGGGAGCAAACAGGAUUAGAU